GCUCCAGGGGCAGCUGUUAACAUCUGGGCUGACAGUCUAGGCCAGCCUUGAGAAGAGUGUGGGAUCUCAGCCCCCAGUGACUCAGCUCUCUCAGGA
rfam:Rattus norvegicus strain BN; Sprague-Dawley chromosome 18 CRA_213000034369523, whole genome shotgun sequence.